CUGAGAGCUUGUAUUCCAAGUGUGAUACGUCAAAGGAGGUGACAGAAUAGGCAAGGGUUUUGGGGGACAGGAUGGGAGAGGUCAUUUGUACUCUGUGCACUGGAAGGUAGCUGGGGUGGGGAGCCUCAGAGUAUCUUAAAAAAGGAUAAAGAACAGGCUGAAAGUAGGUUUGGGGGAAGCCAGGUGUCACUGUGGGAUAGAGUCAUUAAGGCACCUGCAAGGCCCGUGGAAUGUAUAAGAAACUUUGAAUGCAUCAGGAGGAAAAAAGGAAGGUCACAGCACAUCACACUGAUAUUUUGCUGUAUGCAGGACAAAAUUUCCAGGCAGAGCUGUUAUCUUUCAUUGGACCAGUUGGAACUGGAAAAAUCAGAUGAGCUUUUGGGGGCACAGGUGCACCUGCAGGCCCUGGUUUUGCAAGCCCCUCUACAAGACUGUUCACAUUGAAAUCAAGAGAAUUUUUAUCACAUGGAUGAAGUUAGUGCUGCA
rnacentral:lncRNA from 1 species